CAAACACUUAUAGUGAUAUAAGCCUGGACAGUGAGAAGUCAGCAGAAGUCAUAGUAGUGAAGAAAUCUAAUGAAAAUUAGAAGGAGCGAAGGGC
rnacentral:ncRNA from 1 species